rnacentral:rRNA from 1 species
UACGUAGGGGGCAAGCGUUGUCCGGAUUUAUUGGGCGUAAAGCGUCUGUAGGUGGCUUUUUAAGUCCGCCGUCAAAUCCCAGGGCUCAACUCUGGACAGGCGGUGGAAACUACCAAGCUGGAGUACGGUAGGGGCAGAGGGAAUUUCCGGUGGAGCGGUGAAAUGCGUAGAGAUCGGAAAGAACACCAACGGCGAAAGCGCUCUGCUGGGCCGACACUGACACUGAGAGACGAAAGCUAGGGGAGCGAAUGGG